CACGGGGGGAGCAAGCGUUGUUCGGAAUCACUGGGCGUAAAGGGCGUGUAGGCGGUCAGGUAAGUGGGAUGUGAAAUGCCCCGGCUCACCCGGGGACCGGCAUCCCAUACUGCUUGGCUUGAGUACGGGAGAGGAUGUGGGAAUUCCUGGUGUAGCGGUGAAAUGCGCAGAUAUCAGGAGGAACACCGGUGGCGAAGGCGGGUCUCUGGGCCGGAUGACUGACGUGAGGAGCGAAGACGUGGGGAGCGAACAGG
rnacentral:rRNA from 1 species